rnacentral:rRNA from 1 species
AUUGAACGCUGGCGGCAGGCUUAACACAUGCAAGUCGAGCGGGGGGAGGUAGCUUGCUACCUAACCUAGCGGCGGACGGGUGAGUAAUGCUUAGGAAUCUGCCUAUUAGUGGGGGGCAACAUUUCGAAAGGGAUGCUAAUACCGCAUACGCCCUAAGGGGGAAAGCAGGGGAUCUUCGGACCUUGCGCUAAUAGAUGAGCCUAAGUCGGAUUAGCUAGUUGGUGUGGUAAAGGCCUACCAAGGCGACGAUCUGUAGCGGGUCUGAGAGGAUGAUCGGCCACACGGGGACUGAGACCCGGCCAGGAUUCCUACGGAGGCAGCAGUGGGGAAUAUUGGACAAUGGGGGGAACCCUGAUCCAGCCAUGCCGCGUGUGUGAAGAAGGCCUUUUGGUUGUAAAGCACUUUAAGCGAGGAGGAGGCUACCGAGAUUAAUACUCUUGGAUAGUGGACGUUACUCGCAGAAUAAGCACCGGCUAACUCUGUGCCAGCCGCCGCAGUAACAC